GCAAGUCGAGCGGUAGAGAGGUGCUUGCACCUCUUGAGAGCGGCGGACGGGUGAGUAAUGCCUAGGAAUCUGCCUGGUAGUGGGGGAUAACGUCCGGAAACGGACGCUAAUACCGCAUACGUCCUACGGGAGAAAGCAGGGGACCUUCGGGCCUUGCGCUAUCAGAUGAGCCUAGGUCGGAUUAGCUAGUUGGUGAGGUAAUGGCUCACCAAGGCGACGAUCCGUAACUGGUCUGAGAGGAUGAUCAGUCACACUGGAACUGAGACACGGUCCAGACUCCUACGGGAGGCAGCAGUGGGGAAUAUUGGACAAUGGGCGAAAGCCUGAUCCAGCCAUGCCGCGUGUGUGAAGAAGGUCUUCGGAUUGUAAAGCACUUUAAGUUGGGAGGAAGGGUACUUACCUAAUACGUGAGUAUUUUGACGUUACCGACAGAAUAAGCACCGGCUAACUCUGUGCCAGCAGCCGCGGUAAUACAGAGGGUGCAAGCGUUAAUCGGAAUUACUGGGCGUAAAGCGCGCGUAGGUGGUUCGUUAAGUUGGAUGUGAAAUCCCCGGGCUCAACCUGGGAACUGCAUCCAAAACUGGCGAGCUAGAGUAUGGUAGAGGGUGGUGGAAUUUCCUGUGUAGCGGUGAAAUGCGUAGAUAUAGGAAGGAACACCAGUGGCGAAGGCGACCACCUGGACUGAUACUGACACUGAGGUGCGAAAGCGUGGUGAGCAAACAGGAUUAUAUACCCUGGUAGUCCACGCCGUACACGAUGUCAACUAUCCGUUGGGAGCCUUGAGCUCUUAGUGGCGCAUCUAACGCAUUAAGUUGACCGCCUGCGGAGUACGGCCGCAGGUUAACACUCAAAUGAAGUGACGGGGGCCCGCACAAGCGCUGGAGCAUGUGGUUUAUUUCUAAGCAACCCCCAGAACCUUACUAGCCGUGAGAUUCAAUGAAAUUUCUUACAUGGAUUGG
rnacentral:rRNA from 1 species